rnacentral:ncRNA from 1 species
GGCGGGAGGGCGGUGAAUACAAGACCCGAAAGGGGAAUAAACCCGCCUGCCUCAGGACAGGUUUCUACCCUCCCGCCACCAGCGC